rnacentral:rRNA from 1 species
UACAGAGGUCCCGAGCGUUGUUCGGAUUUAUUGGGCGUAAAGGGUGCGUAGGCGGCGGAGUAAGUUGGGUGUGAAAUUUCGGAGCUUAACUCCGAAACUGCAUUCGAUACUGCGGUGCUUGAGGACUGGAGAGGAGACUGGAAUUCAUGGUGUAGCAGUGAAAUGCGUAGAGAUCAUGAGGAAGACCAGUGGCGAAGGCGGGUCUCUGGACAGUUCCUGACACUGAGGCACGAAGGCCAGGGGAGCAAACGGG